rnacentral:lncRNA from 1 species
GAGCUAACUUUGCCAACGCUCUGCUGGUGAACCUGUAAGUCUCCUGGCUGACGUGCGACCAGGCAGCCUCCAGAGAGAGAGAGAGAGGGAAAUGGGCAAGAGCUGAGACUCCAGCAGCAGCAGGAAAUGGGCUGCGUUGCAGACAGCCGGCGCCACCAAGAGUUAUUUCUAAAAUCUGGGUUCGAUUAUGAUGUGCAGUCAGGUGUGGAAGGUGAAAGGAAGGAACAUGAAGGAAAAGAUAAGACACGAAGAGAAGGAGCCAUGUGGAAAAACCUGGAGUGCAGAAGUGUUCGUCUGAAAGGCUACGAUGACCGUGAUGAGUAAAUUAUUUUAUUCCUACCAUU